rnacentral:snoRNA from 10 species
GAUCAAUGAUGAAAAUAGCCAAGUCUAAGCAUCAGGAGGCCAUGCAGGCUGCCUGAUGCGUCAUCUAGUUCUUUUUUAUA